rnacentral:lncRNA from 1 species
AAUUAUAGAACAGAUCUUCAGUUCCUCAUUAUUCAAGCAGAUCUCUGAAUUAGAUACAGAAGCAGAACAUAAUAUAUCAAUUUCAAAUACAGAUUACAACAGAUAUAGAUGUAGAUUUCCUACUCCCAACUGCUACACCAUCUUCGUCCAGCCCUACACACCAAAAAGGGUAUAAAGUACCCAUCCAUCCAUUCACGCCAUGUAGUGGUUGUAUGUCACGUUCAAAAUGUCGCAGACUAGCUGUUAGAACAGAAUGUGAUAAGUCGCUAGAAUCAGAUACAUAUAUAUAGCUUAGCCACCAGUCUUGGCAGAUUAUUAAAUUGCCCACACUUUUUCCUUAUUCAAACACCCAAUGCAGAUGUAAAUUUAUAGAUACAGAUAUAAGCAUACGGUGUUACAAAUUCAUAUUAUACUCAUUUAAUACAGAAUACAGUUACUCGCCAGUCUACAUAUCGAUGAUAUAUAUAACAUUUUGUACAAAAAUAGAUUAUCAGUUGAUGGGCUUUAUAGCCCAAAUCGAACCAUACGGACUUUACGGUAGGCCUACGUUCAACUGGAACGAUGUUUACGGUUUUAAUGAAAAAUCUUAGAUUUUGGCCCACACGCCCCUAUGGAUUCACACAGCCUGGAAGGCUGGCCCAUGUGGUCUACACGGCCUAGCACACGUCCAUGUGGCUCAAAGUAGUGAGUUACACGGUCUAACAUAUGGCCAAGUACACGCUUGUGUGACUCAAACACCAAUUAUCUCUCACAUGGCCUAGACACAUGCCCGUGUCUCUGGCCCGUGUGACUCUAAUUCCAAAACAAUGAGUUACACGGCCUGGGCACACGCCCGUGUCGUUGACUUGUGUGAUUCUAAUUCCAAAAUAGUGAGUUACACGGCCAUGUAGGGUCAACAGCCAUGUUUUCUGACUUUCGUAAAACGCAAAAAUCGGGGUUUUCGUUACACACCUAGUACGGUUUCAUCAUAGAAGCAACCACGCUAAUCCUAAAGCCUAAAAAUAACAUUCAAUUGUCGAAUCAAACAAUUUAGUCCCAAACAAAUCGAUAACCACAUCCAAAUUAAAAUUAUGUCGAAUAACUUUGACAUGAAAGUCCAACUCAGAAAUUUAACACUUACCCCCAUACGUAACAACGAAACACGAUCAUGAUUCGAUUAAGGAACUUUACUCCUAAGGUUUUCGCCUAAAAAAGAAACCAAAUGAUUAUUUAACAGAAAGUUCAGAAUGAGAUGAUUGUAUUUCAACCUCGACAAGAACAAACAAAGUCAGGCAAAAAUAACAGAGAAUAACAAUGAAACUUACUCCAAUACUUGUCAUGUAAUACCCCCUACCCGUAUUCGUCGCCGAAAUAGAGUAUGAGGCAUUACCAGAUUUUACCGAAUUUUUUUUUUCAAGAUAGAUUUAUCAUAUUCAUAACAUAAUUUCAUCACAUACCAAAACCAAAAUUUGUUAGCCAUACUAAUGGCUAACCAUACAUUCAUUUCACAUUAACAUCUAAUUUACUAGCUUAUACAUGCCAUUGAUUUCCAAAAUAAAGUUCCUUUAUGUACCGAGAUCUCGAGAUUGAUAGUGUGAUAUGUCUCCGACCAGGGGAAAAAGAAACAGGGUAAGCACUUUGUGCUUAGUAAGUUCAUGCAACAGGAAUUAUACUUACCAUACUUAUACAUCCAUCAUUUAAUAACACAAGCACACAUCCAAUUCACAUAAACAUAUAUCUAUCACAGACAAACUCAACCUCAUACAAAUUCAUUACAAAGAUAAAUGAUUGAUGAGCUCAUCAAUUCCAUGAUUUCCAUUUCCUUGUUAUUUUUCCAUAUUUAUCCCGUUGAACUACUUGGAAUUUCGAUGGAUAUUCAGGGGUACACCUAAGUGUACAAAUCCGGGUCCGUCAAUUCAUAUUCAUGUGCGCACAUGUCCAUUUCAGAGAGCACACUCCCGCGAACCUCAUCCUUAUAGCGGGAUUACCAGUCCAGGCUAAAUCCCCUGUAAUAUAAACUCAAAGAGUAUUGUCGGGAUUACCAGUCCAGGCUAAAUCCCCUGCAACGACAAUUACUCUAAUGAGCUUGGAUCUGAAUUACCAGUCCAGGCUAAAUUCAGACCCUAAUUCGGAUUACCCGUCCGGGCUAAAUCCAUUUUCCACAUAUUCUUCGGGAGGGCUAUAUCAGGAUAGGAUCACCCGUCCGGGCUAGAUCCUUUUUACCGUCAAUUCCUUUUCAGAGAUCCAUCGAAUUUUCCUUUCAUUCAACCGGGAUUUAUUUCCUCUUUUCAUCAAGAAUAUCAAUACUUCAUCAAUUAUCAUACAAUAAACAUCCAACUCAUAUUCACAUCAAUAACAAACAUUUCAAGCAUUUAUGAAUAUAAUUCAAGUUACACGAACUUACCUCGACACUUGUUCGUAAACAAAAAUCUACUAAUCCCGAACUUUUUCUUUUCCUCGAUCUUGCUUCGUAUUUGAAUUUUCCGGAUCUAAAUAAAUAAAUUUAAUCAUUAAUCUAAUACAUUUCAUGUUCAUAUGUAACUUUCUCUACAAUUCCAUUAUUAUUUAUAGUGCAUUCAAAGCUGCCUCACUCAGUCACAGUCACUAAAUUAUUUAUAUCUUGAGCUACAGAACUCUAAAUUAAGAUCCGUUAAAUUUUCCCUGAAACUAGACUCACAUAUCUUGUUACCAUAAAAAUUUUAGAAUUUUUGGUUUAGCCAAUAAGUACAUUUUAUUCUUUAAAGUUUCCCCUAUUUCACUAUAUGACAGUUCUGACCCCUUUUCACUAAAAAUUAAUUAUCUCACUGUACAGAAUUAGGAUGAUGCUUCCCUUUAUUUCUUCAGAAAAUAGGCUCAUUAAGGAUUCUAAGCAUAUAAAUUAUAACUCAUAAUCAUUUUUGUAUAAUUUUUUAAUGAUUUUCCAAAGUCAGAACAGGGGAACCCGAAUUCAUUCUGACCUUGUCUCACAAAAUCUAUUAUAUCUCAUGAUUUACAAUUCCAUUGCUUACAUCGUUUCUUUUAUAAGAAACUAGACUCAAUAAGCUUUAAUUUCAUAUUUUAUUCAUCCUCUAAUUCGAUCUCUACAAUUUUUGGUGAUUUUUCAAAGUCAGAGUACUGCUGCUGUCCAAAACUGUUUUAGUGCACGGUGUUAAUUACCAUUUUUCCCUUAAACUUUCAACAAUGAUAAUUUCGUCCCUGCUCAAUUAACCUCUCAAUUGAGCUGAUUUUUCUCAAUCAACACUUUAUUAUAUCACUUUAAACUACCUUAUAACCUUUGGAAAUCAGAAUUUCAGCACUAAACUUUAAUUCCAAACUUUUUCACAAUUAGGUCCUACAAAUCAAUUGCUAUUUGAAUUACCUAAUAAAAUCAUCUCACAAACAAAUUAAAGCUUCAAUUUCAUCCUAUUUCAUCAUAAAAUUCCAGCACAUAUUCAUAACAACUUUCAAAUUCAUUCAUAAAAUAAAAAACUAAUGAAUUUAGUAAUAGGACCUAGUUGUAAAAGUCUUAGAAACACAAAAAUUACAUGAAAAAGGCAAGAAUUAACUCACUUGGUGCAAAAACCAGCUUGAAGAAACCCUUAGGACGUUUUUGGCUGAUGAGAGUGCAGAAAAUGUGAAG